rnacentral:rRNA from 1 species
GAUGAACGCUGACAGAAUGCUUAACACAUGCAAGUCGAUGGGGAAGUGGUGCUUGCACCAUGGUAACCAUGGCGGACGGGUGAGUAACGCGUAAGGAACUUGCCUGCGGGACUGGGAUAACAGCAGGAAACUGCUGAUAAUACCGGAUAAGGUCAUUAAGCUGCAUAGCUUAGUGAUGAAAGGAGACGCCUGCGGAGAGCCUUGCGUCCUAUUAGCUAGUUGGAGGGGUAACGGCCCACCAAGGCGAAGAUAGGUAGCCGGCCUGAGAGGGUGGACGGCCACAAGGGGACUGAGAUACGGCCCUUACUCCUACGGGAGGCAGCAGUGGGGAAUAGUGGACAAUGGGGGCAACCCUGAUCAAGCAAUUCUGUGUGCACGAAGACGGUUUUCGGAGUGUAAAGUGCUUUCAGAAGGGAAGAAGGAAGUGACGGUACCUGCAGAAGAAGCGACGGCUAAAUACGUG